GAUGAACGCUGGCGGCGUGCCUAAUACAUGCAAGUCGAACGCAUAGCGAAAGGUGCUUGCACCUUUCAAGUGAGUGGCGAACGGGUGAGUAACACGUGGACAACCUGCCUCAAGGCUGGGGAUAACAUUUGGAAACAGAUGCUAAUACCGAAUAAAACUUAGUGUCGCAUGACACAAAGUUAAAAGGCGCUUCGGCGUCACCUAGAGAUGGAUCCGCGGUGCAUUAGUUAGUUGGUGGGGUAAAGGCCUACCAAGACAAUGAUGCAUAGCCGAGUUGAGAGGAUGUGGGGCCACAUGGGAACUGAGCCCCGCCCCACCCCCCGCGGGGGGGCGCGAGUGGGAUUUUCCCCACAAGGGGGGAAAGCAUGAUGGAGCAGCGCCGGGUGUGGGAUGAAGGUUUUGGGGUGGUAAAGCAGUUUUUUAGGGAAAAAACAGAUAAAAGAGGAAAUAUUUUUAGUUGGAGGUAACCAAACAAGAAAGGGACGUCUAAAUCCGCG
rnacentral:rRNA from 1 species